rnacentral:tRNA from 1 species
GCGGGAGUGGCGGAACUGGCAGACGCGCACGUUUGAGGGCGUGUGGGCGACCGUACGGGUUCAAGUCCCGUCUUCCGCA